GGCUCAGAACGAACGCUGGCGGCGUGCUUAACACAUGCAAGUCGAACGCGAAAGGGACUUCGGUCCUGAGUAAAGUGGCGCACGGGUGAGUAACGCGUAGAUAACCUGUCUUCAUGUCUGGAAUAAUACGCCGAAAGGGGUACUAAUACCGGAUAUUCUUGCUUUUCAUAAGUUAUGCAAGCAAAGGUGGCCUCUGCAUAUGCUACUGCAUGAAGAGGGGUCUGCGUACCAUUAGCUAGUAGGUGGGGUAAUGGCCUACCUAGGCGACGAUGGUUAGCGGGUCUGAGAGGAUGAUCCGCCACACUGGCACUGGAACACGGGCCAGACUCCUACGGGAGGCAGCAGUGAGGAAUAUUGCGCAAUGGGGGAAACCCUGACGCAGCGACGCCGCGUGAGUGAGGAAGGCCUUCGGGUCGUAAAGCUCUGUCAAGAGGAAAGAAGUGUACAAUGGCUAAUACCUGUUGUAUUUGACGGUACCUCUAAAGGAAGCACCGGCUAACUCCGUGCCAGCCGCCGC
rnacentral:rRNA from 1 species